rnacentral:rRNA from 1 species
AUUGAACGCUGGCGGAAUGCUUUACACAUGCAAGUCGAACGGCAGCACGGGGCAACCUGGUGGCGAGUGGCGAACGGGUGAGUAAUACAUCGGAACGUGCCCAAUCGUGGGGGAUAACGUAGCGAAAGUUACGCUAAUACCGCAUACGAUCUACGGAUGAAAGCGGGGGAUCGCAAGACCUCGCGCGAAUGGAGCGGCCGAUGUCAGAUUAGGUAGUUGGUGGGGUAAAGGCUCACCAAGCCAACGAUCUGUAGCUGGUCUGAGAGGACGACCAGCCACACUGGAACUGAGACACGGUCCAGACUCCUACGGGAGGCAGCAGUGGGGAAUUUUGGACAAUGGGCGCAAGCCUGAUCCAGCAAUGCCGCGUGCAGGAUGAAGGCC